CGCGUGAGAAUCUAGCUUCAGGUCGGGGACAACCCCUGGAAACGGUGGCUAAUACCGGAUGUGCCGAAAGGUGAAAGAUUUAUUGCCUGAAGAUGAGCUCGCGUCUGAUUAGCUAGUUGGUGUGGUAAGAGCGCACCAAGGCGACGAUCAGUAGCUGGUCUGAGAGGAUGAUCAGCCACACUGGGACUGAGACACGGCCCAGACUCCUACGGGAGGCAGCAGUGGGGAAUUUUCCGCAAUGGGCGAAAGCCUGACGGAGCAAUACCGCGUGAGGGAGGAAGGCUCUUGGGUUGUAAACCUCUUUUCUCAGGGAAUAAAAAAAUGAAGGUACCUGAGGAAUAAGCAUCGGCUAACUCCGUGCCAGCAGCCGCGGUAAUACGGAGGAUGCAAGCGUUAUCCGGAAUGAUUGGGCGUAAAGCGUCCGCAGGUGGCACUGUAAGUCUGCUGUUAAAGAGCAAGGCUCAACCUUGUAAAGGCAGUGGAAACUACAGAGCUAGAGUACGUUCGGGGCAGAGGGAAUUCCUGGUGUAGCGGUGAAAUGCGUAGAGAUCAGGAAGAACACCGGUGGCGAAAGCGCUCUGCUAGGCCGUAACUGACACUGAGGGACGAAAGCUAGGGGAGCGAAUGGGAUUAGA
rnacentral:rRNA from 1 species